rnacentral:rRNA from 1 species
AAUUUACGCGGGCGGCAUGCGUAACACAUGCAAGUCGUACGAGAAAGCCCCUUUCGGGGGGCGAGUAAAGUGGCGCACGGGUGAGUAACGCGUGGGUAAUCUACCCCGGUCUGGGGGAUAACGCACCGAAAGGUACGCUAAUACCGCAUGACCCGUUGGGUUCUUGAACCUGACGGAAAAGGUGGCCUCUACAUGUAAGCUACCGAACCGGGAUGAGCCCGCGUCCUAUUAGCUAGUUGGUGGGGUAAAGGCCUACCAAGGCGACGAUGGGUAGCUGGUCUGAGAGGACGGCCAGCCACACUGGAACUGGUACACGGUCCAGACUCCUACGGGAGGCAGCAGUGAGGAAUAUUGCGCAAUGGGGGAAACCCUGACGCAGCGAUGCCGCGUGGGUGAAGAAGGCCUUCGGGUCGUAAAGCCCUGUCAAACGGGAAGAACAGUUGGUGGACGAAUAAUCCACCGGCCUGACGGUACCGUUGAAGGAAGCACCGGCUAACUCCGUGCCAGCAGCCGCGGUAAGACGGAGGGUGCAAGCGUUAUUCGGAUUUAUUGGGCGUAAAGAGCAUGUAGGCGGUCGAUCAAGUCUGAUGUGAAAGCCCGGGGCUUAACCUCGGAAGGGCGUCGGAAACUGGUCGACUUGAGUUCGGGAGAGGAAAGCGGAAUUCCGGGUGUAGAGGUGAAAUUCGUAGAUAUCCGGAGGAACACCGGUGGCGAAGGCGGCUUUCUGGACCGAAACUGACGCUGAGAUGCGAAAGCGUGGGGAGCAAACAGGAUUAGAUACCCUGGUAGUCCACGCUGUAAACGAUGGGCACUAGGUGUGGGGGGUUUUUAAUCCCUCCGUGCCGCAGCUAACGCAUUAAGUGCCCCGCCUGGGGAGU